GUCACUGCUAUUGGGAUUCGACUAAGCCCAUGCGAGUCGUGAGGGUUCGGCCCUCGGCAGACGGCUCAGUAACACGUAGAUAAUUUGCCCUUAGGUGGAGGAUACCCUCGGGAAACUGAGAAUAAUACUCCAUAGAUCUAGACUGCUGGAAUGCUUUUAGAUUGAAAGAUUUAUCGCCUAAGGAUAAGUCUGCGGACUAUCAGGUUGUAGUCAGGGUAACUACCUGACUAGCCUACGACGGAUACGGGUAGUGAGAGCUUUAGCCCGGAGAUGAUAUCUGAGACACGAUAUCAGGCCCUACGGGGCGCAGCAGGCGCGAAAACUUCGCACUGUGCGAAAGCACGACGAGGGAAUCCCAAGUGCUGGCUCGUAAGAGUCAGCUGUUUCUCUGUCUAAAAAAUAGAGAGAGUAAGGGCUGGGUAAGACGGGUGCCAGCCGCCGCGGUAAUACCUGCAGCUCAAGUGGUGACCGCUAUUAUUGGGCCUAAAACGUCCGUAGCCGGUUCUAUAAAUGCCUGGGUAAAUCGUACGGCUUAACCGUACGAAUUCCGGGUAGACUGUUCAACUUGGGACCGGGAGAGGCUAGAGGUACUCCUGGGGUAGAGGUGAAAUUCUGUAAUCCUAGGGGGACCACCAGUGGCGAAGGCGUCUAGCUAGAACGGGUCUGACGGUGAGGGACGAAGCCCUGGGGAGCAAACGGGAUUAGAUACCCCGGUAGUCCAGGGUGUAAACGCUGCUCGCUUGAUGUUAGUCGGGCUCCGAGCCCAACUAGUGUCGGAGAGAAGUUGUUAAGCGAGCUGCCUGGGGAGUACGGUCGCAAGACUGAAAUUUAAAGGAAUUGGCGGGGGAGCACCGCAACGGGUGGAGCGUGCGGUUUAAUUGGAUUCAACCCCGGGU
rnacentral:rRNA from 1 species